rnacentral:rRNA from 1 species
AACAAACGCUGGCGGCGUGCCUAAUACAUGCAAGUCGAACGGGGUAGCAAUACCUAGUGGCGCACGGGUGAGGAACGCGUGGAUAAUCUGCCUUAGAGUGGGGGAUAACUAGUCGAAAGAUUAGCUAAUACCGCAUAAGACCACAGGAGCUGCGGCUCUAGGGGUCAAAGGUUUUUCGCUCUAAGAUGAGUCCGCGUAAGAUUAGCUAGUUGGUGAGGUAACGGCUCACCAAGGCGACGAUCUUUAACUGGUCUGAGAGGAUGAUCAGUCACACUGGAACUGAGACGCGGUCCAGACUCCUACGGGAGGCAGCAGUAGGGAAUAUUGCACAAUGGAGGAAACUCUGAUGCAGCGACGCCGCGUGAGUGAUGAAGGCCUUCGGGUCGUAAAGCUCUGUCGCAGGGGAAUAACACAAUGAAUGUACCCUGUAAGAAAGGAUCGGCUAACUUCGUGCCAGCCGCCGCGGUAAUAC